GCAUAAUUUACUUUUAUGUCAGCUAGCCACCUCAGUUAUUCAUAUCAUCUGCAAAUGUUAUUAUAGAUGAGUAUCUGCUUAAGUUUCUAAGGUGUAGAGAAGCAUUAAAAUAUGUUUUUAUCAAUUUAUGACGUUAUGUAAGUAGUUUGCAUACACACACAUUUUGUGUGAAUUGUGAAUUGUGAAAUUAUAUUCACACAAAUGUGUGUUUCAUUAAAAUAAAUUUUGAAGAUUUAAAUACUUUUGAUAGUUCAAAUAAAGAUGUAUUUUGAAGAACAUUUUAAAUGUUUUUUAAAAAUUAUAUUAAGAAAAGCACACAAACAUAUAUAUAGUUACACAAUAAUAAUAAUAGAAUAUGCAAACAAGUUUUUUUAAGGUUAUAUGUUUUAAAAGAACACAAAAACAGAAAUCACUACUUUGGUUUAAAUCUUCAUGUUAUUAAGAAUAUUUUACAAAGUUAUUGAUGUUAGCAUAUAACCCUCAAAAUAAUCUGGCAUGUUUUGAGUAUUUUUUAGCCUGUGUUAACAUUGUUCUUCCACAGCUUUAGGAAACACUGUUUUAUUAUGGGUUUAAUUUUUGUAUACAUUUGUAUAUGCUAAGAACAUGUAACCCACCCUGAAUUCGUUUUUCUGGAACAAAGGUUGGUAUAGGUAAAGGUAAAUGUUUCCCCCUGACAUUAAGUCUAGUCAUGUUCAAUGCUGGGGGUUGAUGCUCAUCUCCAUUUCUAAGCCGAAGAGCCGGCGCUGUCCAUAGACACCUCCAAGGUCAUGUGGCCGGAAUGACUGCAUGGAGUGCCAUUACCUUCCUGCCGGAGCAAUGCCUAUUGAUCUAUUCACAUUUGCAUGUUUUCGAACUGCUAGGUUGGCAGAAGCUGGGAUUAACAGUGGGCGCUCACCCCACUCCCUGGAUAAGAACCGCUGACCUUUCAGUCAGCAAGUUCAGCAGCUCAGCGGUUUAAUCCGCUGCACCACCGGGGGCAUUAGUAUACUUACAUAAAAUGAAUAACAAAUAAAAUAUUUCAAGUUGAUAAUUAAUUAAUUGAAGAGCAUAUUGAUUAGCUCAUAUAAUCAUUGGAAGAGUGUUAUUCACCAUUCUUGUUUUGCUUUGCAGGAAAUGAGAGAUGCUUUUAUAAAAGAAGGUGGGGAGCAAAGACUGUUGGUCACCAGUGUCUGCUGGUGUAGAAACGAUUAAUGCCGGAUAUGAAAUCGCUAACUUAGGGAAAAAUAUGCUAUGGAGUAUUGGAGGGACCAAGGCGCUCCAGCGGAGAAGCUGCUCAUGGGGUUCCCCACCUAUGGACGCUCUUUAGGGCUUUGGAGCAGUGGUGACGCAGGACUCUGUACAUCAAUCUCAGGGGCUGGUCCUGCAGGGCCAUAUACAGAAGAGGCUGGAUAUUGGGCUUACUUUGAGGUUUGCGAUUUUAUAAAGGAUGCUCAAGUGCGGUGGUUGGAUGACCAGAAAGUCCCAUAUGCCUUUAAGAAUCAUGUAUGGCUUACGUAUGAUAACAUUUGCAGCUUCAGAU